AACGAACGCUGGCGGCAUGCCUAACACAUGCAAGUCGAACGAGACCUUCGGGUCUAGUGGCGCACGGGUGCGUAACGCGUGGGAACCUGCCCUUAGGUUCGGAAUAACUCCCCGAAAGGGGUGCUAAUACCGGAUAAUGUCUUCGGACCAAAGAUUUAUCGCCUUUGGAUGGGCCCGCGUUGGAUUAGCUAGUUGGUAGGGUAAAAGCCUACCAAGGCGACGAUCCAUAGCUGGUCUGAGAGGAUGAUCAGCCACACUUGGACUGAGACACGGCCCAGACUCUUACGGGAGGCAGCGGUGGGGAAUAUGGGGCAAUGGGCGAAAGCCUGAGCCAGCUAUGCCGCGUGAGUGAUGAAGGCCUUAGGGUUGUAAAGCUCUUUUACCCGGGAUGAUAAUGACAGUACCGGGAGAAUAAGCGCCGGCUAACUCCGUG
rnacentral:rRNA from 1 species